rnacentral:rRNA from 1 species
UACAGAGGUCUCAAGCGUUGUUCGGAUUCAUUGGGCGUAAAGGGCGCGUAGGCGGCCUUCUAAGUCGAACGUGAAAUCCCCGGGCUCAACCCGGGAACUGCGUCCGAUACUGGAAGGCUUGAAUCCGGGAGAGGGAUGCGGAAUUCCAGGUGUAGCGGUGAAAUGCGUAGAUAUCGGGAGGAACACCUGUGGCGAAGGCGGCCCCCUGGUUGGAUACUGACGCUGAUACGCGAAAGCGUGGGGAGCAAACAGG